rnacentral:rRNA from 1 species
GGCUCAGUAACACGUAGUCAACCUACCCUAUGGACGAGAAUAACCUCGGGAAACUGAGGAUAAUUCUCGAUAGAUCAUAAUUCCUGGAAUUGGUUUAUGGUCCAAAUGAUUCGUCGCCGUAGGAUGGGACUGCGGCCUAUCAGCUUGUUGGUGAGGUAAUGGCCCACCAAGGCUAUUACAGGUACGGGCUCUGAGAGGAGAAGCCCGGAGAUGGGUACUGAGACACGGACCCAGGCCCUAUGGGGCGCAGCAGGCGAGAAACCUUUGCAAUGUGCGCAAGCACGACAAGGUUAAUCCGAGUGCUUCCUGCUAAAGGAAUCUUUUGUUAGUCGUAAAACCACUGAUGAAUAAGGGGUGGGCAAGUUCUGGUGUCAGCCGCCGCGGUAAAACCAGCACCUCAAGUGGUCAGGAGGAUUAUUGGGCCUAAAGCAUCCGUAGCCGGUUCUGCAGUUUUCGGUUAAUCCACUUGCUCAACAAAUGGGCUGCCGAAAAUACUACAGAUCUAGGGAGUGGGAGAGGUAGACGGUAUUCGGUAGGAAGGGGUAAAAUCCUUUGAUCUAUUGAGGACCACCUAUGGCGAAGGCAGUCUACCAGAACACGUUCGACGGUGAGGGAUGAAAGCUGGGGGAGCAAACCGGAUUAGAUACCCGGGUAGUCCCAGCUGUAAACGAUGCAGACUCGGUGAUGCACUGGCUUGUGGCCAGUGCAGUGCCGCAGGGAAGCCGUUAAGUUUGCCGCCUGGGAAGUACGUACGCAAGUAUGAAACUUAAAGGAAUUGGCGGGGGAGCACCACAAGGGGUGAAGCCUGCGGUUCAAUUGGAGUCAACGCCAGAAAUUUUACCCGAGGAGACAGCAGAAUGAAGGCCAAGCUGGAGACUUUACCAGACAAGCUGAGAAGUGGUGCAUGGCCGUCGCCAGCUCGUGCCGUGAGAUGUCCUGUUAAGUCAGGUAACGAGCGAGAUCCCUGCCUCUAGUUGCCACCAUUACUCUCAGGAGUAGCGGGGCGAAUUAGCGGGACCGCCGCAGUUAAUGCGGAGGAAGGAAGGGGCCACGGCAGGUCAGUAUGCCCUGAAACCUUGGGGCCACACGCGGGCUGCAAUGAUAGUAACAAUGUGUUCCAAAUCCGAAAGGUAGAGGCAAUCAUCAAAUGCUAUCUCAGUUAUGAUUGAGGGCUGCAACUCGCCCUCAUGAAUAUGGAAUCCCUAGUAACUGCGUGUCA